GAUGAACGCUGGCGGCGUGCCUAAUACAUGCAAGUCGAGCGAACAGAUGAGGAGCUUGCUCCUCUGACGUUAGCGGCGGACGGGUGAGUAACACGUGGAUAACCUACCUAUAAGACUGGGAUAACUUCGGGAAACCGGAGCUAAUACCGGAUAAUAUAUUGAACCGCAUGGUUCAAUAGUGAAAGACAGUUUUGCUGUCACUUAUAGAUGGAUCCGCGCCGCAUUAGCUAGUUGGUAAGGUAACGGCUUACCAAGGCAACGAUGCGUAGCCGACCUGAGAGGGUGAUCGGCCACACUGGAACUGAGACACGGUCCAGACUCCUACGGGAGGCAGCAGUAGGGAACCUUCCGCAAUGGGCGAAAGCCUGACGGAGCAACGCCGCGUGAGUGAUGAAGGUCUUCGGAUCGUAAAACUCUGUUAUUAGGGAAGAACAAAUGUGUAAGUAACUAUGCACGUCUUGACGGUACCUAAUCAGAAAGCCACGGCUAACUACGUG
rnacentral:rRNA from 1 species